rnacentral:rRNA from 1 species
AACGAACGCUGGCGGCGUGGAUUAGGCAUGCAAGUCGAACGCGAAAGAGGGGGUAACGUACCUCGAGUAGAGUGGCGAACGGGUGAGUAACACGUGAGAAACCUAGCCUUCAGCAGGGGGAGUAACACUCCCAACGGGGUGGCUAAUACCGCAUGAGACCACGGAUUCGCAUGGAUCUGGGGUCGAAAGGUGGCCUCUGCUUGCAAGCUACCGGCUGAAGAUGGUCUCGCGUCCCAUUAGCUAGUUGGUGGGGUAAGUGCCUACCAAGGCGACGAUGGGUAGGCUGGUCUGAGAGGAUGGUCAGCCACACUGGGACUGAGAUACGGCCCAGACUCCUACGGGAGGCAGCAGUCGAGAGG